UCUAGAGUCUUUAUAUGAGAAAAGAGUUACCAUGUGGCUUUCACCACGGUUUCAAAGCACAAGGAUCGGGAACACACUGUAAUUUCCAUAUGAGGAGGAACAUAAGAAGAAAGGGACAGAAACACAACCCGCCCAAAUUAUUUAACAGUUUAAAUCUGAACUCCCCUAAAGGCUAGCACUCUAAAACAAAAUGAGUCCUUUAGGAUUUUAGGAUCUUUGUCCUAAAGAUCUCUGAACCUAAGAAUAUUUCAUGGUGCCAAGCUUCCGUCCGACAGCAGCUGGGCAUGACAGAGGAAAAAAGCCAAGACGUUCAUACAGAGAAGACUACAGCAGAAAAGAGGAAAAAGGUGGAAAAAGCAGGAAUGAAGGACACAGAAGAAGGAAGAUUUGGGGGCGAAAGGUGAUCUGCAAAAGGUGGGACUCCAAUUAUUCUGGUUAUACCACUGCCUAGAGACAACUAGUGGAAUUGAAUAUGAGUACCACUUCAAGCAAUUAAGAAAAACAGAGAGUUAUUUUCGUCGGUUUUACAAAGAAGUAUGAAUAAAAAGGACUGUUCGGGUUUUUGUUUCUUAGAAAUUUCCAUAGUUCCUCAGAGUUUUCCUAUGAAGAAGAAAGAGAAUAUAUAAUCUCAGUUACAAAUGGUAUAUUUAAGGUUUUACCAUCCUGAGAUGUGAUGAAUUUAUAAUUAUAUUGAAUUCACAGGUGUGUUUUAUCAUUAUCUUUUGAAAAAUAAUAAACUCUAACAAUAAGUCCCACGCCUAAUUGUUUUCCACACUAUUGCAUAUAGUCAUAGAUGCCUAAUUUUUAACUAGAAUAUUACAUAUUAAGUAGCUUUUUAUUUAGUGUUAGUAUAUAUAUUUUAAUGAAUUAUAAAUUCCUUAGAAGGCCUACAAUAAUUUUUACUUUAUAGUAAGAUUGCAGUUAUACCUGACUAGUUGGUAUACAUCCAUUUCUCCUUGAUCAAAUUCAACCCUGACAGAAAAUGAGUAUUAAAUAUACAGGACUUAAUUGAUUAUAACACUAGAAGAAAAGUGUAUAUGAAAGAAAAUAGGUGACAUUGUCCAAUAGCACAGUUUUUAAUUUAAAAAAUUACAUCAAAUCCAAAUAAAACUACUAUUUAAUUUCCAUUUAA